UUUCUUUUGUUAUUUUGAGUCUUAAGGUGGAUGAUAGGUUUGUUGGUUGAUGAGGUAGGAGGUUGUAGGUGGAGGAUGGAAUGGAGCAUCCAGUUCCUACUUCCUGGCUCUCUUCUGUUUUGGCUUGCCAGGCUUUGGUUCGCCAGAAAUGUCCACAUCAUAAUGAGGAGGAUGGACUCCGACCCCAAAACGCUGGUGGAUAGUCACCAGUCCA